rnacentral:rRNA from 1 species
UACGGGGGGUGCAAGCGUUAUUCGGAAUUAUUGGGCGUAAAGGGCGCGUAGGCGGUUGAAUAAGUCAGAUGUGAAAGCCCUUGGCUUAACCAAGGAAGUGCAUUUGAUACUAUUUGACUUGAGUAUGGGAGAGGGAAGUGGAAUUCCUGGUGUAGAGGUGAAAUUCGUAGAUAUCAGGAGGAACACCGGUGGCGAAAGCGACUUCCUGGACCAAUACUGACGCUGAGGCGCGACAGCGUGGGGAGCAAACCGG